UCUUAGCUGAGAGGGUUCCCCUGUCUUGAACUCUCAUAGUCCCUUGAACUUCCUUUUCUCUUUGCACUCAGCAUUUGUGGUGGUAUUAGAAACAGAGAGAAGAGGAUAAGUUACAGAGAGAUUGAAGAGGUAGAAUUGCUAGGACUCAUUGAUUAGAAAUUUUAGAAGAGGACCAGUUUAUGGGGCAAAAGAUGAAGAUUUUGGACACAGUGAGUUUGAGGUACUCAUGAACCAUCGGGUGGAAAGGUCUAGGAGGAAGCUGAGCAAUCUUAUCUCAACAUUUCCUCCUGCAUUCUCUGCUCUCUCCAGCACCAUCAUGCAUUUCCUCUAUGCUGGAACCACACCUAAUCAUCCCCAGCACCAUGGUCUUUUUCAUUGAGUUGGCUCUUCACAUCUGGUGGCCAAAGUAUUGAAGCUUCAGCUUCAGCAAAAGUGGUUAAGCAUCUGCCUGCCAAAGCCUGGAUUUGAUCCCUGGUCUUAGAAGAUCUCACAUGCUGUGAAGCAGCUAAGCUCAUCUACCACAACUACUGAAGCCUGAGUGCCCUAGAGCCCAUACUCUACAACAUACUCUACAGUGAAGCCACCACAAGGAGAAGCCUUGAGAGCAGCCCCUGCUCACCGCAACUAGUAAAAGCCUGUGUUCAGCAACGAAGACCCAGAACAGUCAAUAAA
ensembl:lncRNA